rnacentral:rRNA from 1 species
AGGAUGAACGCUAGCGGUUUGCCUAACACAUGCAAGUUGCACGGCGCCAUACCUCUCGGGGUAUGGUGCAGUGGCGGACGGGUGAGUAACGCGUAAGGACCUGCCCCUGGGAGGGGGAUAACAGCUGGAAACGGCUGCUAAUACCCCAUAGCCUGAGGAGGGAAAGGAGAGAUCCGCCCAGGGAGGGGCUUGCGUCUGAUUAGCUAGUUGGGAGGGGUAAUGGCCUCCCAAGGCAACGAUCAGUUGCUGGUCUGAGAGGAUGAUCAGCCACACUGGGACUGAGACACGGCCCAGACUCCUACGGGAGGCAGCAGUGAGGAAUCUUCCGCAAUGGGCGAAAGCCUGACGGGGCAAUGCCGCGUGGAGGAUGAAGGCCCAAUGGGUCGUAAACUUCUUUAGAUCAGAGACGAAGAGAUGACGGUACCUGAAGAACUAAGCAUCGGCUAAACCCGUGCCAGCAGCCGCGU